AUAUGUUUAGCAAAGAGUUCACAACCACAAGUUCUUCACUUAAUAUUACAACCAAAUCAAAUGAUGAAAUCUCCAGCAGUACAACACAAAAAAUAAAAGCUUCUGUGAAAAUGCAAACAGAACAAACUGACAUACAGACCCUUUCUACAGUACCUACCAUAGACCUGACCAGUGUAAGCUCAGUGUGGUCCUCAACUGAUGCAAAUAUCCCAAGAAUUAAACCAGCAGAGGGACAUCACACAGAAUCUGUUUCCACUUUUGUCUCUAAUAUCUCAGAAGAAAAAGUUCAGCAAGAGGUUUCCAGUGAUGAAGACAGAAUUACACUGACAACUAAAGCAUACGAUCACUAUAUUGUAGCCACUGAUGAGGCAGACCUCACAUCAGAGCCAGGGAAACCUGAAAGUUCUUCACACUCCACUUCAUCAACAAGUGAAUUGUUUUCAAGCACAUUUCAACCUAUAGUAACUGAAUUUAGAGAAGAACCUAGCACCCACCAUACAACAGAAGUAUUUAGCUCAAGUUACACAACAACAGAGCCUGUUAGUAUAAGACUUGCAGAGAUCUCAGUGUCUUCUAGACCUUCUCAUACUAUUACUGAAUCACAGUUGACUAAACACACCACAGAAUCAAUUAUUAGUCCUACUGCAAUUGGAUCAGGUAAACCUAGUCUCACUUUAGUGGCAACAGAGAAUGACCACACCACACCUUCAGCUAUCCAAACAAUGACUUUUCCUUUCAAGCACAUCCAAACAUCAACAGUCACUGCAAGUUACAAAGCAACUUCAGCUCUUUUCAGGACAAAAGCAAUGCUUACAUCUUCCAGCAAAAGCCAUAGCAUUCACACAACAAUUUCAUCUGAUGCAGAAGAUGACACAACAGAUUAUGAAGGGUCAGGGGUGUCCCCUGUCAUGCAUGUUUCAUCAAUAGCCAUCAAAACUCAAACUGGUUCUCCUAUAGUUCUUUUAACUAGAACUGGCUUCACAGAACUCGACAAAGACAUCACCAUAACACAAAAUUCAAGCUCUAUCACAUCUGCCUUUGUAGAAAGAGAAGGCUCUGGUAUUGUAGAAGAUAAUAAAGAAACUACUCAACUAGAAGGUUCUGGUGAAGAGGACAGAGUGAGUCCAACAGAGGAAAUGUCUGACAAUUAUACUGAUGAGGCAGAAAUCAGUGAGGCUAACCACACAUCAGAGCCAGGGAGUUUUGUAAGUUCCUCUCAUUCCACAUCCUUCACAACUAAAUCAACAUUGUUGCCCAGCACUGUCCAAACAGUAGUGAUAUCAGUAUCUACUGAAGGUAGUGAAAUAACAGCUGAAAGUGAAGUGGAUGAAAAUGAUAGAUCUAGUGGUGAAAUAUCCCCAGCAGCUCUUGAGUCAAUUCCUGCUCAAGAUAUACCCUCUGAGGACAAAACAACUUCAACUACAAUCACACAACCACAGAUAACUGUAGCUGAAACACCUGAUGUAAUACCGUCAAUCAAAUCUGAGGCUUUAUCAGGUUCUGAGACACAAAAGAGUACCUUACAGCCAAACACUCCAAAAACCGACUUAAAUGGGUUUGAAUUAUCAACCAUAGAGGAUGACAAGGAAUUUACCUCACCAGGAGACCCUGUUGCUGAGAUAUACGAAACACCAACAACUAAGGCAUAUGAGGACCUAUCUGUAAGAACUGAUGAGGCAGAAGUUGAAGAGAUGGAGAAGAAAACAGGUUUCUCGAGUGCUGCAUCUUUCACUAGCAGUACAGAUUUCACACAUCAGUCAACUUUAUCCCAAUCUCCCUCAUUCCUGACCUCUACUCAGUCAACUGUAACGUUUGCAACUUCACUUUCAGAGGAUGGCAGUGGGGAAGACUCAACUGAGGGGGGUGGAGCAGAAGAUGAUGGAUCAGGUGAUGAUUCAACCCUUGUGACAUCUUCACCUUUGCUAUCAAGCUCAAAGAUGACAGAAACAACCAUUAGCAUGACACCCUUUAGCUCAGUAAACAGUGGACAGUACAGUACAGCCAGAGUUGUUUCACAGGGACACACAUUCUCAAGCACAAAUGCUGAAGGUUUCACUCUGGUCUCAGUGACAGCACUGACAGAGCAGGAACAUUCUGGUGCUUCUGUCUCAGAUAUAGCAGCCACUAGCUUUACAGCUCCUGGAACACCAUCUGGUGUGAUAACAAGCCACACUAAAUUGCCUUCUUUCGUGACACCUCAAGAUCCUGUGUCCACCACUACUCCAUUGGUCUUGUCUAAGGACAGUGCUGAUCAGCACAUCACUCCAACAAGUCCAGUCUUAAUAUUCACAGAGGAGGAGGAAGAUGAAGAUAAGCUACUUUCAACUGUUACAGAGAGUAUAAGGGAUGAUAGCACCAGACAAGAAGAUUUCACUAAGGAAGACAUAAUUAUUGAUGCAGAUACUUUGUCUGUUUUAGAGCAGUCUUCUCCUUUCGCCCCUACAAUUGUUACAGAAGAAGCAGCUGGGGUAACCCCAAUUGUCAUGACGGCACAACCCUCAAGCUUUAUGACAGAGGAGCCAGAAGGAUCUGGAAUGGAUGGCACUGAGUUACCUCAUUUACGUGUGUCAUUUGAGACAGACAGGUUAAUAAUUCUACAAACCCAAUCAACUGCAGACAUCCUGCUGAGCAGUUCAAGAUAUUUAGAAGAGGACACACAAGCAACACAAUCUCCUGAGGCUACUGAUGCUGAUGUACCUGAACACACACAAGAUGGUCAGAUCUACACAGAAUCCACAGAACUUACAAUGAGACACUCAGGAGACACUUUGUCUACGGAUGAUUAUAUUUUAGAAACAUCCACUUUAACCCCCAUGACAUCUCAAGUGUCCACAGACGGAGUCAUAGAAAUGUUUUCAGCUGAAGAGGACUCAUCUGAAGAUAUAUCAACACAUACUGGAGAUGAUGUAACAUCUGCCCCAUCAAGUUCUGGAGAAAGUGUUUCUUCACAACAUCCAGGUGAUAUCACAGACUCUGAACAGUCAGUUUCUCUAGUAUUGGAUUUAAUGAGUACUGCAUCUUUCCAUACUGCAUCAAGUGCUAGCAUGACUGAACCUGCCAAAACAACUACAAGUACAUACACAAAAACAGCAGCAACUGAUGAUAAUGACUUAACAGCUGACACAGAGGAAACAUUGUACAUGACAAGUGCUGGUGACAUUGAACUCAGUAGUCCCUCUACUGAUAAGGUAAUUCAAGGGAGUGAAUUAACAAGCACAGAUGUAUUAACUAGAUCUGGUAUUUCAGAGGAAACCACAAGUGCAUUAUUUUCUUCAACAGAUUAUGGCUCAGGUGAUCAAACAAUUGAAAUGGUUACAGAACUAUCUGAUUUAACAGACUCUCCUUUAAUAUCUGAAGAUGAUUCGUUGUCAUCACCUAUGAAGACUGAUAUUGUGAGUCACUUUGCAACAACCUCUUUGCCUGAAGCAAUUACAGUAACUGAUGGGGAACCAUAUCAACAAGCUUUGUCUGAAAUGACAGUGCCAUCUCCAUCAACAACCAUCCCCACACCUCUUAUAUCUGCUUUAAAGUUUAAUAUGACUACAGACACAGUAACAUUAGUGGGAUCUCCUUCAUCUACAUCCAUACCAGGACUGGGUAACAAAACAGGAGCUCCACUUUCCUCUGAGAAAGAGACAAAUGAAAUAAUUGAUUAUGAUACAAAAACUGAACCUUACGUAACAGUACAUUCCAUACCAGAUUUAAUGAACAAAACAAACAUUGACAGCGAGACUGACCUAGAAAUUAGCUCAGAAGAUGUGACUAGCAUUGAUGACAUCACCCAGCCUGAAGGUAAGAAGAGUUUCCCCACCUCACAGCCUGAUGUUGAGACUAGUUUUGAGACUACCUCACAGCCUGAUGUUGAGACCACCUCACUGCCUGAUGUUGAGACUGGUUUUGAGACCACCUCACUGCCUGAUGAUGAGACAAGCUUUGAGGCCACCUCACAGCCUGAUGUUGAGACUAGUUUUGAGACCACCUCACAGCUUGAAGUUGAAACUAGCUUUGAAACCAGCCCAGAAUCAAAAAUUGACACUGGCAUUGAGACCUCCUCAAAACCUGCGGAGGACAGUGCAACAAGUGUUGAUGGAAAAACGCAAGCAGAAGUUUUAAAUAAUGAGACCACCUCUCAGCUUGACACUGAAACAAGAUUUGAGACUACCAUGCAACCAGACAUUGAGAGUGAAACUUCUUUUGAGAGUGUCUCAAGAACUGAGAGUGAUGCUUCAGUCACCAGCUCACCAAACAGUGGAACAAGUGGUUCAGAGAGAAGCACAUCUGGGGAAGUAAACACCAUAUCAUCCAAUAAGCAUUACAUUACAACAAGACUUUCUGAUGUCACAGAUAAACCAAGUUCCGCUGCUAUAAGUGAAGAGAAAUUCUUGGAAAAAAGAGUUGACACAGGAUUCAGCACCACCAUACAACCUCAGUUUGAUGGAUUUGUAACUUCCAGUAGUUGGAAGAGCAGCUCAGAUGAGGAUUCAGUUAUUAUCCCAUCAUCUGAUGAGGUUCAGGCAGUAAUUCUGUCUACUGCAACAACCUCACCUUUACUUAUGACACCUGAGUCUGAUAUCAAGAUUGUUAGUAAAGAAACUGCCUCAAGGAAACAAGAAGCAGCUGGUCAGAUUGAGGAAGCUGUAACUCUUACAACUGAGAUUCCAAUUCAUAAUGAAUAUCAGAUGACAUCGUUAGUACCUACCACCCAGAGUGAGAUUACAACACCAUUUCCCUCCCUUGAAGAUGUUUCUGAGGUCGCUUUGGUUAAAAGCCCACCUCCAAGUAUACAGAAUGAAAGCACAACACACAGUACAGCAGACCUUCCAUACACAAUGAUCGGGCAGACAUUUGAUAUUCCAGGUAGGAUGUAAACACUGUUUUAAAGUCCAAAUUAACAGAAUGCAUAUACUGUACUUUUUAUACCUAUACCAUUAUUUUGGUAUGACAUGCCUAUAUCCUCCCUCUCUUACUGCAGGUGUUCACUCCUGUUCUGGUGAUGCUUGCUUGAAUGGAGGUUCUUGUGUAAAAAUAGGCGGUGAUCAGAUCUGCAGCUGUCCACCUGGA
ensembl:lncRNA